rnacentral:rRNA from 1 species
GGACCUGACUGCUAUCGGAUUGAUACUAAGCCAUGCGAGUCUUUGCAGUAAUGCAAGGCGGACUGCUCAGUAACACGUAGUCAACUUAACCUAUGGAUGGGUAUAACCUCGGGAAACUGAGAAUAAUUCCCAAUAGAUCAUUUAUCCUGGAAUGGUUGAUGAUUGAAAUGAUUCGUCGCCAUAGGAUAGGACUGCGGCCUAUCAGCUUGUUGGUGAGGUAAAGGCCCACCAAGGCUAUUACAGGUACGGGCUCUGAGAGGAGAAGCCCGGAGAUGGGUACUGAGACACGGACCCAGGCCCUAUGGGGCGCAGCAGGCGAGAAAACUUUGCAAUGUGCGAAAGCACGACGAGGUUAAUCCGAGUGAUUUCUGCUAAAGGAAUCUUUUGCCAGUCCUAAAAACACUGGUGAAUAAGGGGUGGGCGAGUUCUGGUGUCAGCG